UUUCCGUUCACUCAGGCCGCGGGGAGGCCGGUCCCAUGUCUGCAUCAGCCCGCCACUGAGAUGCCUGCCCCUUUGGAUCAGUCAUGGCCUAGGGGUGUUUCACCAAUUUAGCAAAACUGGGCUGUUAAUUGGCUCUCAGCUAGACAGACCCGAUAUUUUGGUACCAGUUUCUGGCGACCCAGAUGGGACUCUCCUAGCUCGGACAUUGGACUCCAGAUGGCUACGGCGAACUAGGAGCGGCGCCACUGGGGUGCUUAACCCCUCUUCCUCACUUCUCCGCGCUCCUGGGGUUCGUGAUCCGAUAAGAUCUUAUGAACUGGCAAAACACUACGCCUCGGCUUAGAGACGACCCGGAUGUCAUUCACAGGCGAUUCCGUGCCAUUUUUCAAUCUCAUAAUCCUGAUUGGCAGGACGUGGGCCAACUUUUAGAUUGCCUACUGCGCAUGGAGGAGAAGGAGCGGGUCCUAAGGGGGGCCAGGGAGGCUGCGGAGGCUGCCGGUGAUGGACGCGAUAUUAUAGCUCUUACUAAUCCUACUCAAUGGAACCCGAAUGAUUCAGCCCAGCAGGCAAACUUAAAGAAAUUCCUAACCCAUAUUUUAACAAGUAUAAAACAAGCAAAAAAAAACCCCUCUAAAUUGGUCUAAAGUCCAUAAUACUGUGCAAGGGAAAGAAAAACACCCCUCUGACUUUUAUGAGAGACAUUGUAAAGCAUUUUGUACUUUUACUAAUAUAGACCCCAAGGCUGCGGACACACAGUCCACGGUCAGGCUUAUUUUUAUCUCACAGUCAGCUCCGAAUAUUAAGAAGCGAUUGCAGCAGCUCGAGGGGGCUAAGGGAAAAUCUCUGGAAGAACUGGUAAGCAUAGCCACCUGGGUGUAUCACACAAGAAAUAAAGUUCAAGAGACCAAGCAAGUAAAAAUGCUAGCAGCCCUUGUAAACGUGGGAAGUAAAAAACAAGGUGGAAGGGGGGAACCCCUCAGGUGGCAACCGAAAGUGGAUAAGGGGGGGGCCCAAGCCAUGCUAAUAAAAUAUGUCAUUCUGUAAGCAACUUGGUCACUGGAAAAGAGAGUGCCCAAACCGACGCACCCGACUACAGCCCCGACCUAAAUAUCAGAUGGCUGUGGACAGAACAGACGCUGUCAAUAAUAAGGAAUGACGGCGACCCGGGGGUUCACAUGUUACCUAUUCGAAUGACUUUACCACUUAUGUUUGUUCCUCUACUGACCCCCAGGUCCGUUUAACUUUGGGAGGAACCAUUUAUUCUUGUCUUUUGGACUCUGGGGCUGCCCUUCCCACUGUUACUGCUAAGCCAAAAGAAAAAAACCUUACAAAUAAAAGCAUUCCAGUAAUGGGUAUAGGCAAAAAGCCAUUUAAGUGUCCUGUAUUGCAGGAGGCUGCUGUAGAAAUUUCUGGUGUCUCAGCCUCCCAUGCAUUUUUGCUGGCUCCUGACAGCCCAGUUAAUCUUUUGGGCAAAGACUUGCUGUGUAAAUUAUGUGCUCAGAUUUUCUUUACAAAUAAUAAAAUCAUUCUUUGAUUGCCUCAGAAUCAGCUCCCCUAGCUAAGUGCCACAUUAACCCAGGCUGCCGAGGACCCGAUUCUGCCUGAACAACUCAGACAAGAGGUACAUGCCUCCCUGUGGGGCACUUCCAAAACAGACCUUGGAACCCUCCAGACGGAGCCUGUACAAAUAACCCUAAAGCAAAACAUUGACAUUCCUCGAAUCCGGCAGUUUUACACUUACCAAUCAAGUAUUAACACGCAAGGGUCUUUGUCUAAAUGUGUA